GGGAGCAGAGGGCACACAGGGGCAGUGCAGAAACAGGCGGGUGUAAAAGGCUGGGCUGAGGAACAGGAGGAGCAGACGCUUGCAGCCUUCUGAGGAGAUCUGAUGUUGCUCUGUAUGGGGAGAUGCCUGAAGCCUUCUUUGGUCUUGGUUGUGCCUCCACUGUUAUCCUGAUGUAAUGGUGACCCCAACGUGACUGGAACACAAAGCUUUGUGAUGAGGUAAAAUGACUCUCUGAACAACUUCUCAAGAGUAUUUUAAUAGGACUGGGAAUCCUUGUUAUUAAAAUGCUGCAUUUCAAAAAAUCCAAAUCGGUGAAAGAAUUGUUAGACUUUUUCAGAUUAAGCGCAACUUUUGUGCCUCCUCAUCGUGGCAAUACUUGUGCAAAG